GAUGAACGCUGGCGGCGUGCCUAAUACAUGCCAGUCGAGCGAACGGACGAGAAGCUUGCUUCUCUGAUGUUAGCGGCGGACGGGUGAGUAACACGUGGAUAACCUACCUAUAAGACUGGGAUAACUUCGGGAAACCGGAGCUAAUACCGGAUAAUAUUUUGAACCGCAUGGUUCAAAAGUGAAAGACGGUCUUGCUGUCACUUAUAGAUGGAUCCGCGCUGCAUUAGCUAGUUGGUAAGGUAACGGCUUACCAAGGCAACGAUGCAUAGCCGACCUGAGAGGGGGAUCGGCCACACUGGAACUGAGACACGGUCCAGACUCCUACGGGAGGCAGCAGUAGGGAAUCUUCCGCAAUGGGCGAAAGCCUGACGGAGCAACGCCGCGUGAGUGAAGAAGGUCUUCGGAUCGUAAAACUCUGUUAUUAGGGAAGAACAUAUGUGUAAGUAACUGUGCACAUCUGGACGGUACCUAAGCAGAAAGCCACGGCUAACUACGG
rnacentral:rRNA from 1 species